UAAAAGUUAACUCAUAUUUGUAUGGAACGUUUGCGUACGUUUGCCGCUAGGGGCGCUGUUCCAACUGCAUACAAAAUUCGGUUA
rnacentral:pre_miRNA from 1 species